rnacentral:miRNA from 2 species
UAUCACAGUCGUAGUUACUAGA